AACGCGAAGAACCUUACCUGGGCUCGAAAUGUAGUGGAAUAGGGUGGAAACAUCCUAGUCUCGCAAGAGACUGCUAUAUAGGUGCUGCAUGGCUGUCGUCAGCUCGUGCCGUGGUGUUGGGUUAAGUCCCGCAGCGAGCGCAACCCUUACUCAUAGUUGCUACCCGCAAGGGGGAACUCUAAGAGGACUGCUCCGGAUAACGGAGAGGAAGGUGGGGAUGACGUCAAGUCAGCACGGCCUUUAUGUCCAGGGCUACACACGUGUUACAAUGCAUGGUACAAACCGUCGCGAACCUGCGAAGGGGAGCUAAUCGGAAAAAACCAUGCUCAGUUCGGAUUGCAGUCUGCAACUCGACUGCAUGAAGCCGGAAUCGCUAGUAAUGGCGUAUCAGAACGACGCCGUGAAUACGUUCCCGGGCCUUGUACACACCGACUGUAC
rnacentral:rRNA from 1 species